CCACAACAUUUCUGGCCAUCUGGAGACAUCAGUGUUGGUCCUUCACAGAGAGCAGGUAAACCAGUGGUCAUCAUGGUGUGUGUGAGUCUGACUGUGUUGGUGGUGGGACUCAUCCUGCUACUGAUCUACAAAUGGAGGAGAGACAGGAAAUCAUCAAGGCCAGUCUCCAAUCCAGAUCCAGGAAUCACAGGGUGUUUAAGAGAGGGAACUAUCAAAACAACAACGCAAGACUCCACCUACCAAACCCU